AAGAAUUUAGUCAGGAUUUGGCCAGAUGCCGAAAGAAGGAAAGAAGAAAAAUUUAAUUAAAAUAAAGAAAUAUGAAGAAUGAAAACUGAAUAAAAUCAAAAAGAAUAAUCAAAGAAAAAAUAGUAAAAAUUUGUGGGUUGUCUCCCACGAAGCGCUUUGUUUAAUGUCGCAAGCUCGACAUAAAACUAUUAAAUGUUAAUCUAUUAAUUUUGGAGACAAUACGUCUAAGUGCAGGACUUGCGAG
rnacentral:lncRNA from 1 species